rnacentral:rRNA from 1 species
CGUAAUAAUAGAAACUAACCAGGAUUCCCUUAGUAACGGCGAGUGAACUGGGAUGCCAAUAUAUAAUAUGUACCUCGCGUGCAUAAAUUAGCCCGUCGAUACUAUCCUAGCGUAUGUCACCGGUCUUCGAGUCGGUACUCAAAUACGCGGGAAUUGUAGCAUCGUAAUAAUUAUACAGCACACACACACACACAUAAGAACCCACGCCAACAUGCGUACACCACUUGUAAACACACAGCGUCUCCGCGUUGGAAAGCAAGUAUAUAUCCUCUUUGGAUAUGCCAUAGAGUGUGACAGCCACGUUUCACCCUUUAGUACGCACACACAUAUACCAAUGGCGCGGCGUGCGAGUGCACAACGUAUAUAUACUAUAACCUGAGUCGAGUUAUUU